rnacentral:misc_RNA from 1 species
AACAAGUGUAAAUUAAGAUGGCGCCUACCAAAGGCGAUAGGAUCUGCUGAUUUAUUUUCUACAUAUCUCCUCUUAGCAUAGAUAAUAAUGAGCACUGCAGUAGCAACACAGCAACCUAGCCAGUCUCUUGGAUCCCCAAGACAGCAAGAUAGAAAAGCUCUGGUUUCCUCUGAUGGCAAAAAUGCUUUACCAGAGCUCAGGAACAGUGGCAAUGCUCUGGACAAGAGGAAGCCUCUCCCUACUUCACUACAGAGUGAUUUCAUCCCUGAGGAUGUUUUAUUUGCACUGACUCAACCCCCUCCAGUCAGAGAACAACUUGGACCCCCAACCAGGAACAGGAAUCUGAAUGUUACUACAGUGCCUUCUAGAGCUCCACCAUCCAAUUUAUGGAGUCACAAAAGAAGGGAAAGGUUCAAGCACCUCACAGAAAAUACACCAUGUAUUUGUGGAGCUGGAAGUGAUAUAUCCUUCCUCUACGAUGUCCCUCUCCCUGAGAAGAAGCUGGAGCGACCAGACAAACUGGACAAGAGUUUUGCCAGAAAAGAGGCCCUGGACAAACAGAGGAAGAGACCAGCAGGAAAGGAUGAUAAACCUUUGGAGCUCCCAGACACCUUGAUUCCAGAAGAAUAUCACAUUGUCAAAAACAAAGGGGUCAUGGGUAUUGAAUUUCAUGAGGAUAAAUACAGUAACCAAGUUGAAGACCAUGAAAAGCAUCUUGUUGUGUUUCCCUCCAUGAAACCUGCCAGUCGAUUUGAGGUGGUGCAGCUGAAGAAGACAAUGGAUGAUAUGUUGGACAAGGCAGGGGUGUAUGAUACGGACGCCGAGAUCAAGGGACCCACACAGAUGCACAAUUUGCUGGAGUUGAUAAAGAAAGAACAGAACAUUUACAACACAGUCUUUCAUGAAGUCAUCCGACAGGUUAGCAUAGAGUGUGUGGAGAGAGGGGAACUGCUGGCCAAUCUCCGCCAUAAGUACAGCGACCUACUGAACAAAGUCCCUCAACAGAUCAAGAGUUUACAUGAGGAGGUCAUGGCUCAGAGGGCCCUGGACAGACGACUCACGGAGGAGCUGAUGAGAUUCAAAGGCACCAUUGGAAUACUGACCAGUGAGCUUUCUGCUGUAAAGGAACAUGACAAAAAAGUGACAAAAGAAGCUCAGCAGGCUCAGGAAGAUCUGAAAACUGCUCUCUCUGAGGCCCAGAAGAAUGCCAGCCUUCUGGCUGAGUACCACGAUCUGUAUGAGCUCCAGAGGAAGAGACUGGAGACUUCGGUCCAUCUACUGACUGAGGAGAGAGAGCUCUGGAGCAAUGCCGCCUACAGUCUGGCCCUGAAGGUAACGGAAGAGGCCAAUUUGACUACAGCUAAGAAGCUCCAUGUAAGCGAAAAAUCGUGGGCCAAACUGGCCACUCACUUUACCAUCCUCCUGAGUGACAAGGACACGGAGCUCCUGACCAACCUCCAGACCCACGUAGAGAAGUGGCGCGACCUAGUGGAGGAGUUCAACAUCAUACUGAAAACCCGCGAGGAGGAAAUGAAAGUCAACAUCAGCUCCCUAAAAGGAAGCAUUCAAAAAUGGAUGAAUGAGAUCCGCAAAAUUUGCUUUGACGUGGAUGAGAAUGCUAGUAUAAGUACACUGAGUACAAAAGAAGGACAUUUUCAGAAGUCGCCGGAUGAAGCAACACUGAGAUUGUUUCUGGAAGAUGUGAGAAAUUGGGAGGAGGUGCUUGGUAAGGAGGCGGAGAAGUUUGGUGGAGACACCCUUCUGAAUGGUCAGGAGAAGCUGUCAAUCAUCCGUCAACAGAUGGAUGGGUGGACAGACAAUGCCCUCAAAGUUUUCAGCCGGCACAGGAAGGAGGGGGCCAACAGUCACCCCGACCAGGAGGGGAUGAUGACCCUCAAUGAGGAAGUAGAGGAAUUGCUGAAACAAUUUAGCAACAGGAUCACUGGAGAAAAUGGGGUCGCUCCACACGCCAUCCACUUGAUGCAUGGUCUGGAGACCUGGGACAUGAAGAUUGCUGCCGGCACUGAAUGGAACCCAGCUCAUCAACGACAACGAGUGGAUCGGCCUCCUGAACCUGAUGGAGGAAUGGAUGACUGGCAUCGACGAGGCGGUGCAGUACGUAGGCUCCACCCAAAAGGAGGAAGAAAGGAUUGAGUCAAAACCACACAUUAGGAUUGAUGUCAUGGACACAGUAAGGAAGGUCCAGAAGUGGGCCACUACAGCCAGUAAUGCUAUUGACAGUGAAGAUGGCAGGCUAGUGGAACAGGUGUCGACGCUCCACUCCCAGAUGGUCCAGUGGAUGGUACAGAUGCUGCUGAGAUUGGCCCCGGAUCACGAGGGCAACUCCAAGGAGGCCUGCGGAUAUGGUCCUUCUGAACAGCCUGACCCUGGGACAGCUACACUCCAAUGUCAAGAUGCUGUUCGAACAACUCCAGCAAUUCACAAACUAUGUAGCUCUCUGUUGUAGUGGAGUUGUGAUGGACAACACGCAGGCUCGACGCGACAACAUGGAGGACAACGCAGAGCAUGAACUGAGGGACCUCCAGCGACUCAAGUCUGAGUGUCUAGAUUGGAUCCACACGGCCAAGCUUCUGACCUGCCACCUGUUGGGGGACCCUGUCGAGACACUGUUCCCCUACCGCUGUGUCAGGGGAUGAGCCCACUAAAAAGCCUGUCCCAGAAAAACCAAUGGUCACAUUCCACGACAAAGAGAAACUCCAGCCCUCAUGCCCCAGGGUCAGAGCAGAAAACUGAAGUUCCACCAUCAGACUCAGCUCAAGUUGAUCAAACAGAAAAAGCAGAGGAAGAGGUACCACCAGUCAGGGAAGCCACAGAGGGAGAGGAGCAGAAACAACCAGCUCCUGAGUCGGUGCCACCUAAGGAAAAAGAAACAAGUAAAGAGAAACUUGAAGUGAUUGGCUUUGAUGAAAACACUCAUAUGAAAAAUCUUAAUUCAGUUGAAACAAAGCCCACUGCAUCCUCCACCUUUAUUCCUGAUGCUCCCAAUACACAGAAGUCUUAUGAAGCUCUAGCAGCUGUUGAGAGCCUACAGAACCAGCUACUAGGCACAGAACAGAGAGCACAGGCAGCAGAGGAUAGAGCUGCUAUGGCCGAGUCUGAUCUUGCAGAGGCCAACGAGAAAAUCCGCGAACUAGAAAAACGAUUGGCUAAACUAGAGAAGCAAGAUGAGGAUUCCACUGCUGGAGACAAGACCCCAGCUAAGGUCCCUGCCACCCCAACUACCCCCAGGGAUGAGUCCGGGGCAAAAGAUAAAUCUCCGGAAAAAAAGGAGGAGAAAAAGAGACCAGAGUCCCAGGCUUCUAAAGCCAGCUCCAAAUCCGGAAAAUCAAAGAAGGGCAAAUAACUGUAAAUGUUUAUAGUGAUUCCAUAAUUCUUUAAAUGACAUUUAAAUGUAAGAACAGAAUAUAAAUGUUUAUAUGGUGAAGUAGGUACUUUCUACACAUCAGUGAUCAUGUACCCUUGUGUCUGUGGUUUAUUUACUGCCAACUGCUGAAUAAACUGUUUUUGUUACUGUUGAUAUGGAUGAAUACUGCUGGUCAUAGUUUUGUUGAUGAAUUUGUAAUGACUAUACAUUGUAUAAAUUUGUACUGUCAACAGUUUUAGUACAGAUCUUUGAAAUAUGCCCUUUACUUUAAGGAAAGUUUUAUUAUAUUUAAGUUCAGUCAGUAUUGUAUUGUAUUGAGAUCACUAUUUCAGUGUAUUUUUUUACAGAUUUAUUGAAUAUGCACUUGACAUCUGUUUAUUUAUUUGAAGUAUUCCACUGAAAUCUGUGAUAUAUGUUUUAAGUCUAUUGUUGCUGAGAGAUGUGCUAUUGAUGAUUCAUAAAUAAAAAAUAACAUGC